rnacentral:rRNA from 1 species
AUUGAACGCUGGCGGCAGGCUUAACACAUGCAAGUCGAGCGGGGUGAUGGUGCUUGCACUAUCACUUAGCGGCGGACGGGUGAGUAAUGCUUAGGAAUCUGCCUAUUAGUGGGGGACAACAUCUCGAAAGGGAUGCUAAUACCGCAUACGUCCUACGGGAGAAAGCAGGGGAUCACUUGUGACCUUGCGCUAAUAGAUGAGCCUAAGUCGGAUUAGCUAGUUGGUGGGGUAAAGGCCUACCAAGGCGACGAUCUGUAGCGGGUCUGAGAGGAUGCUCCGCCAAACUGGGACUGAGACACGGCCCAGACUCCUACGGGAGGCAGCAGUGGGGAAUAUUGGAAAAUGGGGGGAACCCUGAUCCAGCCAUGCCGCGUGUGUGAAGAAGGCCUUAUGGUUGUAAAGCACUUUAAGCGAGGAGGAGGCUCUUUUGGUUAAUACCCAAGAUGAGUGGACGUUACUCGCAGAAUAAGCACCGGCUAACUCUGUGCCAGCCGCCGCCGUAA